rnacentral:rRNA from 1 species
AGCUCCAAUAGCGUAUAUUAAUGUUGUUGCAGUUAAAAAGCUCGUAGUUGGAUUUCUGACAGGAGCGACCGGUCCGAGCCUUCGGGUUCGUGUACUUUGUGUUGUCUCUAGUCAUCCUUAUGGAGAGCGUGUCUUUCAUUAAUUUGUUGGGCAUGGGAUCCAUAUCGUUUACUGUGAAAAAAUUAGAGUGUUCAAAGCAGGCAAUCGCUGUGAAUAUAUUAGCAUGGAAUAAUAGGAUAGGACUUUGGUACUAUUUUGUUGGUUUGCAUACCAAGGUAAUGAUUAAGAGGGACAGUUGGGGGUAUUCGUAUUUAAUUGUCAGAGGUGAAAUUCUUGGAUUUAUGAAAGACGAACUACUGCGAAAGCAUUUACCAAGGAUGUUU